rnacentral:rRNA from 1 species
AGUGAACGCUGGCGGUAGGCCUAACACAUGCAAGUCGAACGGCAGCACAGUAAGAGCUUGCUCUUACGGGUGGCGAGUGGCGGACGGGUGAGGAAUACAUCGGAAUCUACUUUUUCGUGGGGGAUAACGUAGGGAAACUUACGCUAAUACCGCAUACGACCUACGGGUGAAAGCAGGGGAUUUUCGGACCUUGCGCGAUUGAUUGAGCCGAGGUCGGAUUACCUAGUUGGGGGGGUAAAGGCCCACAAAGGCGACGAUCCGUAGCUGGUCUGAGAGGAUGAUCAGCCACACUGGAACUGAGACACGGUCCAGACUCCUACGGGAGGCAGCAGUGGGGAAUAUUGGACAAUGGGCGCAAGCCUGAUCCAGCCAUACCGCGUGGGUGAAGAAGGCCUUCGGGUUGUAAAGCCCUUUUGUUGGGAAAGAAAAGCAGCAGGUUAAUACCCCGCUGUUCUGACGGUACCCAAAGAAUAAGCACCGGCUAACUUCGUG